rnacentral:rRNA from 1 species
AUUGAACGCUGGCGGCAGGCCUAACACAUGCAAGUCGAGCGAGCGGCGGACGGGUGAGUAAUGUAUGGGGACUGCCCGCUAGAGGGGGAUAACUACUGGAAACGGUGGCUAAUACCGCAUACUAACGGAUAACCCAUAUGGGAUUAGCUAGUAGGGGGGGUAAAGGCGCACCUAGGCGACGAUCUCUAGCUGGUCUGAGCGGAUGAUCAGCCAAACUGGAACUGAGACACGGCCCAGACUCCUACGGAGGAAGCAGUGGGGAAUAUUGCACAAUGGGCGCAAGCCGGAUGCAGCCAUGCCGCGUGUAUGAAGAAGGCCUUAGGGUUGUAAAGUACUUUCAGCGGGGAGGCGUUACCCGCAGAAGAAGCACCGGCUAACUCCGUGCCAGCCGCCGCGGUAAUUC